rnacentral:snRNA from 1 species
GAAUGUGAGGGUGAUCCGGCUGUGACAUAUGUCAUCCCAUUAAUGGCCAGGAUUGACUUAGCUGAUCUGGUUGGCUAGGCGGGUGUCCCCUUCCUCCCUCACCCCUCCAAGUGCAUCCCUCCUGAGGCUGCAUGUUCCGUCCGAGAGGAUGACCAUCCCUGAUAGAGGAGAACUGGUCUUUGGUCAAGGAUAUACAAGUAGCUGCACUCCCCUGCUAGAACCUCCAAACAACCUCUCAAGGUAAGAGUUUUUUGGAGAGAUACAUAGUUUUCUGCAUUCUUUAAAUUCCAAUCAGUAUAUCAAGACUUAGACCUUGCUG